CCUACGGGUGGCAGCAGUGAGGAAUAUUGGUCAAUGGGCGCGAGCCUGAACCAGCCAAGCCGCGUGAGGGAAGACGGCCCUACGGGUUGUAAACCUCUUUUGCCGGGGAGCAACGGGCGCCACGUGUGGCGCCACUGAAAGUACCCGGAGAAAAAGCAUCGGCUAACUCCGUGCCACCAGCCGCGGUAAUACGGAGGAUGCGAGCGUUAUCCGGAUUUAUUGGGUUAAAGGGGUGCGUAGGCGGAGCGGUAAGUCAGUGGUAAAAUUGAGGGGCUCAACCCCCUCGCGCCAUUGAGACUGGCGCUCUUGAGUGGAAGAGAAGUAUGCGGAAUGCGUGGUGUAGCGGUGAAAUGCAUAGAUAUCACGCAGAACCCCGAUUGCGAAGGCAGCAUGCCGGCUUCCUACUGACGCUGAGGCACGAAAGCGUGGGGAUCGAACAGGAUUAGAUACCCGGGUAGUC
rnacentral:rRNA from 1 species